rnacentral:rRNA from 1 species
GUCGACGAUGAACCACUUCGGUGGGGAUUAGUGGCGAACGGGUGAGUAACACGUGGGCAAUCUGCCCUGCACUCUGGGACAAGCCCUGGAAACGGGGUCUAAUACCGGAUAUUGACCUUCACGGGCAUCUGUGAGGUUCGAAAGCUCCGGCGGUGCAGGAUGAGCCCGCGGCCUAUCAGCUUGUUGGUGAGGUAAUGGCUCACCAAGGCGACGACGGGUAGCCGGCCUGAGAGGGCGACCGGCCACACUGGGACUGAGACACGGCCCAGACUCCUACGGGAGGCAGCAGUGGGGAAUAUUGCACAAUGGGCGAAAGCCUGAUGCAGCGACGCCGCGUGAGGGAUGACGGCCUUCGGGUUGUAAACCUCUUUCAGCAGGGAAGAAGCGAAAGUGACGGUACCUGCAGAAGAAGCGCCGGCUAACUACGUGCCAGCAGCCGCGGUAAUACGUAGGGCGCAAGCGUUGUCCGGAAUUAUUGGGCGUAAAGAGCUCGUAGGCGGCUUGUCACGUCGGUUGUGAAAGCCCGGGGCUUAACCCCGGGUCUGCAGUCGAUACGGGCAGGCUAGAGUUCGGUAGGGGAGAUCGGAAUUCCUGGUGUAGCGGUGAAAUGCGCAGAUAUCAGGAGGAACACCGGUGGCGAAGGCGGAUCUCUGGGCCGAUACUGACGCUGAGGAGCGAAAGCGUGGGGAGCGAACAGGAUUAGAUACCCUGGUAGUCCACGCCGUAAACGGUGGGCACUAGGUGUGGGCAACAUUCCACGUUGUCCGUGCCGCAGCUAACGCAUUAAGUGCCCCGCCUGGGGAGUACGGCCGCAAGGCUAAAACUCAAAGGAAUUUGACGGGGGCCCGCACAAGCGGCGGAGCAUGUGGCUUAUUUCGACGCAACGCGAAGAACCUUACCAAGGCUUGACAUACACCGGAAACGGCCAGAGAUGGUCGCCCCCUUGU